GUGCCAGCCGCUGCGGUAAUACGGAGGGAGCUAGCGUUGUUCGGAAUUACUGGGCGUAAAGCGCGCGUAGGCGGCUAUUUAAGUCAGAGGUGAAAGCCUGGAGCUCAACUCCAGAACUGCCUUUGAGACUGGAUAGCUAGAAUCCUGGAGAGGUGAGUGGAAUUCCGAGUGUAGAGGUGAAAUUCGUAGAUAUUCGGAAGAACACCAGUGGCGAAGGCGGCUCACUGGACAGGUAUUGACGCUGAGGUGCGAAAGCGUGGGGAGCAAACAGGAUUAGAUAACCCUGGUAGUCCACGCCGUAAACGAUGAUAACUAGCUGUCCGGUUCAUGGAACUUGGGU
rnacentral:rRNA from 1 species